rnacentral:rRNA from 1 species
UACGUAGGGUGCGAGCGUUGUCCGGAAUUAUUGGGCGUAAAGAGCUUGUAGGCGGUUUGUCGCGUCUGCUGUGAAAUCUCAAGGCUCAACCUUGAGCUUGCAGUGGGUACGGGCAGACUAGAGUGUGGUAGGGGAGACUGGAAUUCCUGGUGUAGCGGUGAAAUGCGCAGAUAUCAGGAGGAACACCAAUUGCGAAGGCAGCUCGCUGGGACGUUACUGACGCUGGAUGCGCGAAAGCGUGGGGAGCAAACAGG